AGCGAACGCUGGCGGCAGGCUUAACACAUGCAAGUCGAGCGCCCCGCAAGGGGAGCGGCAGACGGGUGAGUAACACGUGGGAACGUGCCUUUUGGUUCGGAACAACCCAGGGAAACUUGGGCUAAUACCGGAUAAGCCCUUACGGGGAAAGAUUUAUCGCCAAAAGAUCGGCCCGCGUCUGAUUAGCUAGUUGGUGGGGUAAUGGCCCACCAAGGCUACGAUCAGUAGCUGGUCUGAGAGGAUGAUCAGCCACAUUGGGACUGAGACACGGCCCAAACUCCUACGGGAGGGAGCAGUGGGGAAUAUUGGACAAUGGGGGCAACCCUGAUCCAGCCAUGCCGCGUGAGUGAUGAAGGCCGUAGGGUUGUAAAGCUCUUUUAGCAGGGAAGAUAAUGACGGUACCUGCAGAAAAAGCCCCGGCUAACUUCGUGCCAGCCGCCGCAGUAAGAC
rnacentral:rRNA from 1 species